rnacentral:rRNA from 1 species
GAUGAACGCUGACAGAAUGCUUAACACAUGCAAGUCUACUUGAUCCUUCGGGUGAAGGUGGCGGACGGGUGAGUAACGCGUAAAGAACUUGCCUUACAGACUGGGACAACAUUUGGAAACGAAUGCUAAUACCGGAUAUUAUGACUGGGUCGCAUGAUCUGGUUAUGAAAGCUAUAUGCGCUGUGAGAGAGCUUUGCGUCCCAUUAGUUAGUUGGUGAGGUAACGGCUCACCAAGACGAUGAUGGGUAGCCGGCCUGAGAGGGUGAACGGCCACAAGGGGACUGAGACACGGCCCUUACUCCUACGGGAGGCAGCAGUGGGGAAUAUUGGACAAUGGACCAAGAGUCUGAUCCAGCAAUUCUGUGUGCACGAAGAAGUUUUUCGGAAUGUAAAGAGCUUUCAGUUGGGAAGAAGUCAGUGACGGUACCAACAGAAGAAGCGACGGCUAAAUACGUGCCAGCAGCCGCAGUAACAC